rnacentral:rRNA from 1 species
GGGUUGUGAGGUUAAGCGACUAAGCGUACACGGUGGAUGCCCUGGCAGUCAGAGGCGAUGAAGGACGUGCUAAUCUGCGAUAAGCGCCGGUAAGGUGAUAUGAACCGUUAUAACCGGCGAUUUCCGAAUGGGGAAACCCAGUGUGAUUCGUCACACUAUCAUUAACUGAAUCCAUAGGUUAAUGAGGCGAACCGGGGGAACUGAAACAUCUAAGUACCCCGAGGAAAAGAAAUCAACCGAGAUUCCCCCAGUAGCGGCGAGCGAACGGGGAGGAGCCCAGAGCCUGAAUCAGCAUGUGUGUUAGUGGAAGCGUCUGGAAAGGCGCGCGAUACAGGGUGACAGCCCCGUACACAAAAGCGCAUGUGCUGUGAGCUCGAUGAGUAGGGCGGGACACGUGGUAUCCUGUCUGAAUAUGGGGGGACCAUCCUCCAAGGCUAAAUACUCCUGACUGACCGAUAGUGAACCAGUACCGUGAGGGAAAGGCGAAAAGAACCCCGGCGAGGGGAGUGAAAAAGAACCUGAAACCGUGUACGUACAAGCAGUGGGAGCACAGGUUUACCUGUGUGACUGCGUACCUUUUGUAUAAUGGGUCAGCGACUUAUAUUCUGUAGCAAGGUUAACCGAAUAGGGGAGCCGGAGGGAAACCGAGUCUUAAUUGGGCGUUAAGUUGCAGGGUAUAGACCCGAAACCCGGUGAUCUAGCCAUGGGCAGGUUGAAGGUUGGGUAACACUAACUGGAGGACCGAACCGACUAAUGUUGAAAAAUUAGCGGAUGACCUGUGGCUGGGGGUGAAAGGCCAAUCAAACCGGGAGAUAGCUGGUUCUCCCCGAAAGCUAUUUAGGUAGCGCCUCGUGAAUUCAUCUCCGGGGGUAGAGCACUGUUUCGGCUAGGGGGCCAUCCCGGCUUACCAACCCGAUGCAAACUGCGAAUACCGGAGAAUGUUAUCACGGGAGACACACGGCGGGUGCUAACGUCCGUCGUGAAGAGGGAAACAACCCAGACCGCCAGCUAAGGUCCCAAAGUCAUGGUUAAGUGGGAAACGAUGUGGGAAGGCCCAGACAGCCAGGAUGUUGGCUUAGAAGCAGCCAUCAUUUAAAGAAAGCGUAAUAGCUCACUGGUCGAGUCGGCCUGCGCGGAAGAUGUAACGGGGCUAAACCAUGCACCGAAGCUGCGGCAGCGACACUGUGUGUUGUUGGGUAGGGGAGCGUUCUGUAAGCCUGUGAAGGUGGCCUGUGAGGGUUGCUGGAGGUAUCAGAAGUGCGAAUGCUGACAUAAGUAACGAUAAAGCGGGUGAAAAGCCCGCUCGCCGGAAGACCAAGGGUUCCUGUCCAACGUUAAUCGGGGCAGGGUGAGUCGACCCCUAAGGCGAGGCCGAAAGGCGUAGUCGAUGGGAAACGGGUUAAUAUUCCCGUACUUGGUGUUACUGCGAAGGGGGGACGGAGAAGGCUAUGUUGGCCGGGCGACGGUUGUCCCGGUUUAAGCGUGUAGGUGUGUGUUCCAGGUAAAUCCGGUUCACUUUAACACUGAGGCGUGACGACGAGGCACUACGGUGCUGAAGCAACAAAUGCCCUGCUUCCAGGAAAAGCCUCUAAGCAUCAGGUAACAUCAAAUCGUACCCCAAACCGACACAGGUGGUCAGGUAGAGAAUACCAAGGCGCUUGAGAGAACUCGGGUGAAGGAACUAGGCAAAAUGGUGCCGUAACUUCGGGAGAAGGCACGCUGACACGUAGGUGAAGUGAUUUACUCACGGAGCUGAAGUCAGUCGAAGAUACCAGCUGGCUGCAACUGUUUAUUAAAAACACAGCACUGUGCAAACACGAAAGUGGACGUAUACGGUGUGACGCCUGCCCGGUGCCGGAAGGUUAAUUGAUGGGGUCAGCGCAAGCGAAGCUCCUGAUCGAAGCCCCGGUAAACGGCGGCCGUAACUAUAACGGUCCUAAGGUAGCGAAAUUCCUUGUCGGGUAAGUUCCGACCUGCACGAAUGGCGUAAUGAUGGCCAGGCUGUCUCCACCCGAGACUCAGUGAAAUUGAACUCGCUGUGAAGAUGCAGUGUACCCGCGGCAAGACGGAAAGACCCCGUGAACCUUUACUAUAGCUUGACACUGAACAUUGAGCCUUGAUGUGUAGGAUAGGUGGGAGGCUUUGAAGCGUGGACGCCAGUCUGCGUGGAGCCGACCUUGAAAUACCACCCUUUAAUGUUUGAUGUUCUAACGUGGACCCGU